UGGAUUAGUGGCGAACGGGUGAGUAACACGUGAGUAACCUGCCCUCCACUUUGGGAUAACUCCGAGAAAUCGGGGCUAAUACUGGAUAUGACCUUGGCCCGCAUGGGUUGUGGUGGAAAGUUUUCGGUGGGGGAUGGGCUCGCGGCCUAUCAGUUUGUUGGUGAGGUAGUGGCUCACCAAGGCGAUGACGGGUAGCCGGCCUGAGAGGGCGACCGGCCACACUGGGACUGAGACACGGCCCAG
rnacentral:rRNA from 1 species